AUGGAACUAAUUGUGUCUACAACAGCUGGUAACGAUGAUCAUGACUUUGGAAAGUCCAGUAAAGAGAAAUUCUCAGCCACUAAACCUGAUGCUGAGAGCGGGACAUUGAUAGUGAAGAAUCUGGAGCCUGGAGAUCAAGGCGCUGGGUCAACAGGACCUGAAAGGAAAGCUGAUAGUGGAGUCUCACACCUUAACUUCUUUAACAUGAUCUUCAUGGGCUUUGUAUUUUGUGUUCUUCAGUUACUUGGAGAUAAAGCAGCAGCCUCUGACACCAAACGUGUCGACCAAACACCUCCGUUCAUCAUAAAGAGAACUGGUCAGUCUGUUGACAGUGAGAUCAACUGUGCACACAGCAUAACAAAUUAUGAUCGGAUUCUCUGGUACAAACAAGACAAACACAAGUUAAAGUUCCUGGGAUAUCUAAAUGUGGAUAACCCAUACCCUGAGGACGACAUGAAGGGGAAAAUCAGCUUUAAAGGAGACGGCCGCAAACACUCAAACCUCACCAUUUCUAAUGUUUCACUGAAUGACAGUGGUGUGUAUUUCUGUGCUGCCAGUUACCACAGUGCUGCAGAUUCUCCUCAAGUCAAUACAAAAACCUUCCAGUUAAAACCCAACGCCAGACACACAAGACUUUCAGGCCCCUGAACACCUGCAGCCAGCCUCCAUCUAAACCAGGCCUUUGAAGAUUUUACCAGCUGUUUUUCACACAGGUCUGACCCCCUCUGAGGUCAUGGUGUA